rnacentral:rRNA from 1 species
AUGGAUGCGGACUGGACAUGGGCGUGCCGGGCGUGGGAGAAGUGGACCGCGAAGCACGUCGGGUCUUCCGUUGCAGGGAAACCGGUCAAGGCGGCGCUGCUGCUCAACUACGACCCGACCGGACCAUCUCGUCUCCUCCCCAUCGUAGCAGAGGAAGAGGGAACAAAAUUUACUGCUGUUGAUCUGCAACCGUUCAUUAACUUCUUUAGGAGGAACAAUCUGCAGACGGAAUUCUUUUCUAUUGGACCAAACCAAUAUUUAGUCACUUCAAUCCAUGAGCACUGGUUUUGUGCUCGUUGUGUUAACACAACACAGCCAGGAGGUGAAGGAGUUAUAGUUAUGCAGAUUGGAGCUUACUUGUUAGUCUCUAUGUAUGAUGGUUCUGUUGGUUCGGCUUCGCACGCAAUGGUGGCUGUUGAUCAGUUUGCAUGGCACUUCAACCGGAGAACACAUUAA